CUGUCCCUAUCUACUAUCUAGCGAAACCACAGCCAAGGGAACGGGCUUGGCCAAAUCAGCGGGGAAAGAAGACCCUGUUGAGCUUGACUCUAAUUUGACAUUGUGAAAAGACAUAGGGGGUGUAGGAUAGGUGGGAGCUUCGGCGCCGGUGAAAUACCACUACCCUUAUUGUUUUUUUACUUAUUCAAUGAAGCGGAGCUGGGUUUUACCGCCCAACUUCUAGUAUCAAGGUCCUUCGUGGGCCGAUCCGGGUUGAAGACAUUGUCAGGUGGGGAGUUUGGCUGGGGCGGCACAUCUGUUAAACCAUAACGCAGGUGUCCUAAGGGGGACUCAUGAAGAACAGAAAUCUUCAGUAGAGCAAAAGGGCAAAAGUCCCCUUGAUUUUGAUUUUCAGUGUGAAUACAAACCAUGAAAGUGUGGCCUAUCGAUCCUUUAGA
rnacentral:rRNA from 1 species